AAAUUGAAGAGUUUGAUCAUGGCUCAGAUUGAACGCUGGCGGCAGGCCUAACACAUGCAAGUCGAACGGUAACAGGAAGCAGCUUGCUGCUUCGCUGACGAGUGGCGGACGGGUGAGUAAUGUCUGGGAAACUGCCUGAUGGAGGGGGAUAACUACUGGAAACGGUGGCUAAUACCGCAUAACGUCGCAAGACCAAAGAGGGGGACCUUCGGGCCUCUUGCCAUCAGAUGUGCCCAGAUGGGAUUAGCUUGUUGGUGAGGUAACGGCUCACCAAGGCGACGAUCCCUAGCUGGUCUGAGAGGAUGACCAGCCACACUGGAACUGAGACACGGUCCAGACUCCUACGGGAGGCAGCAGUGGGGAAUAUUGCACAAUGGGCGCAAGCCUGAUGCAGCCAUGCCGCGUGUAUGAAGAAGGCCUUCGGGUUGUAAAGUACUUUCAGCGGGGAGGAAGGUGUUGUGGUUAAUAACCGCAGCAAUUGACGUUACCCGCAGAAGAAGCACCGGCUAACUCCGUGCCAGCAGCCGCGGUAAUACGGAGGGUGCAAGCGUUAAUCGGAAUUACUGGGCGUAAAGCGCACGCAGGCGGUCUGUCAAGUCGGAUGUGAAAUCCCCGGGCUCAACCUGGGAACUGCAUUCGAAACUGGCAGGCUUGAGUCUUGUAGAGGGGGGUAGAAUUCCAGGUGUAGCGGUGAAAUGCGUAGAGAUCUGGAGGAAUACCGGUGGCGAAGGCGGCCCCCUGGACAAAGACUGACGCUCAGGUGCGAAAGCGUGGGGAGCAAACAGGAUUAGAUACCCUGGUAGUCCACGCCGUAAACGAUGUCUACUUGGAGGUUGUGCCCUUGAGGCGUGGCUUCCGGAGCUAACGCGUUAAGUAGACCGCCUGGGGAGUACGGCCGCAAGGUUAAAACUCAAAUGAAUUGACGGGGGCCCGCACAAGCGGUGGAGCAUGUGGUUUAAUUCGAUGCAACGCGAAGAACCUUACCUGGUCUUGACAUCCACGGAAGUUUUCAGAGAUGAGAGUGUGCCUUCGGGAACCGUGAGACAGGUGCUGCAUGGCUGUCGUCAGCUCGUGUUGUGAAAUGUUGGGUUAAGUCCCGCAACGAGCGCAACCCUUAUCCUUUGUUGCCAGCGGUCCGGCCGGGAACUCAAAGGAGACUGCCAGUGAUAAACUGGAGGAAGGUGGGGAUGACGUCAAGUCAUCAUGGCCCUUACGACCAGGGCUACACACGUGCUACAAUGGCGCAUACAAAGAGAAGCGACCUCGCGAGAGCAAGCGGACCUCAUAAAGUGCGUCGUAGUCCGGAUUGGAGUCUGCAACUCGACUCCAUGAAGUCGGAAUCGCUAGUAAUCGUGGAUCAGAAUGCCACGGUGAAUACGUUCCCGGGCCUUGUACACACCGCCCGUCACACCAUGGGAGUGGGUUGCAAAAGAAGUAGGUAGCUUAACCUUCGGGAGGGCGCUUACCACUUUGUGAUUCAUGACUGGGGUGAAGUCGUAACAAGGUAACCGUAGGGGAACCUGCGGUUGGAUCACCUCCUUA
rnacentral:rRNA from 1 species